rnacentral:rRNA from 1 species
UACGAAGGGGGCUAGCGUUGCUCGGAAUCACUGGGCGUAAAGGGUGCGUAGGCGGGUUAUUAAGUCAGAGGUGAAAUCCUGGAGCUCAACUCCAGAACUGCCUUUGAUACUGAUAGUCUUGAGUAUGGGAGAGGUGAGUGGAACUGUGAGUGUAGAGGUGAAAUUCGUAGAUAUUCGCAAGAACACCAGUGGCGAAGGCGGGUCUCUGGACAGUUCCUGACACUGAGGCACGAAGGCCAGGGGAGCAAACGGG